GCCGUGAUGAAAUAAAAAUUCUGAUAUCAUUGAAGAUUCUCAUUUUGUCCUCUAAGAAGAACUGAGCUU